rnacentral:rRNA from 1 species
CUGGCUCAGGAUGAACGCUAGCUACAGGCUUAACACAUGCAAGUCGAGGGGCAGCAUUGGAGUAGCAAUACUCAGAUGGCGACCGGCGCACGGGUGAGUAACACGUAUCCAACCUGCCGCUUACUCGGGGAUAGCCUUUCGAAAGAAAGAUUAAUACCCGAUGGUAUAAAGAGUUCGCAUGUUCUCUUUAUUAAAGAAUUUCGGUAAGCGAUGGGGAUGCGUUCCAUUAGAUUGUUGGCGGGGUAACGGCCCACCAAGUCUACGAUGGAUAGGGGUUCUGAGAGGAAGGUCCCCCACAUUGGAACUGAGACACGGUCCAAACUCCUACGGGAGGCAGCAGUGAGGAAUAUUGGUCAAUGGACGAGAGUCUGAACCAGCCAAGUAGCGUGAAGGAUGACUGCCCUAUGGGUUGUAAACUUCUUUUAUAAGGGAAUAAAGUGAGGGACGUGUCCCUUUUUGUAUGUACCUUAUGAAUAAGGAUCGGCUAACUCCGUGCCAGCCGCUGC